GCCCCGGUAGCACAGUAGCUAGUGCGUCGCUCUCGUAUGGAUUUAUUUUCAAAGGAAAAGCGAAGGUCGGGAGUGCAACUCUCCCUCGGGGCU
rnacentral:tRNA from 1 species